UACGUAGGGCGCAAGCGUUGUCCGGAAUUAUUGGGCGUAAAGAGCUCGUAGGCGGUUUGUCGCGUCUGCUGUGAAAACUCGGGGCUUAACCCCGAGCCUGCAGUGGAUACGGGCAGACUAGAGGUAGGUAGGGGAGAAUGGAAUUCCCGGUGUAGCGGUGAAAUGCGCAGAUAUCGGGAGGAACACCGGUGGCGAAGGCGGUUCUCUGGGCCUUACCUGACGCUGAGGAGCGAAAGCGUGGGGAGCGAACAGG
rnacentral:rRNA from 1 species